rnacentral:tRNA from 1 species
GGGGUUGUGGCUCAGUGGUGGAGCUCUCUCUCCUGGCAUGUGUGAGGCACUGGGUUCAAUCCUCAGCACCACA